rnacentral:rRNA from 1 species
AUUGAACGCUGGCGGCAGGCUUAACACAUGCAAGUCGAGCGGAGAUGAGGUGCUUGCACCUUAUCUUAGCGGCGGACGGGUGAGUAAUGCUUAGGAAUCUGCCUAUUAGUGGGGGACAACAUUCCGAAAGGAACGCUAAUACCGCAUACGUCCUACGGGAGAAAGCAGGGGAUCUCCGGACCUUGCGCUAAUAGAUGAGCCGAAGUCGGAUUAGGUAGUUGGUGGGGUAAAGGCCUACCAAGGCGACGAUCUGUAGCGGGUCUGAGAGGAUGAUCCGCCACACUGGGACUGAGACACGGCCCAGACUCCUACGGGAGGCAGCAGUGGGGAAUAUUGGACAAUGGGGGGAACCCUGAUCCAGCCAUGCCGCGUGUGUGAAGAAGGCCUUAUGGUUGUAAAGCACUUUAAGCGAGGAGGAGGCUACUGAGACUAAUACUCUUGGAUAGUGGACGUUACUCGCAGAAUAAGCACCGGCUAACUCUGUGCCAGCCGCCGCAGUAAUAC